UCCUGAGAUAACGCGCCCUGCUGGGACC
rnacentral:piRNA from 1 species